ACACAUGCAAGUCGAGGGGCAGCGGAGAGGUAUCAAUACCUUUGCCGGCGACCGGCGCACGGGUGAGUAACACGUAUGCAAUCCACCUGUAACAGGGGGAUAACCCGGAGAAAUCCGGACUAAUACCCCAUAAUAUGGGCGCUCCGCAUGGAGAGCCCAUUAAAGAGAGCAAUUUUGGUUACAGACGAGCAUGCGCUCCAUUAGCCAGUUGGCGGGGUAACGGCCCACCAAGGCGACGAUGGAUAGGGGUUCUGAGAGGAAGGUCCCCCACAUUGGAACUGAGACACGGUCCAAACUCCUACGGGAGGCAGCAGUGAGGAAUAUUGGUCAAUGGUCGGCAGACUGAACCAGCCAAGUCGCGUGAGGGAAGACGGCCCUACGGGUUGUAAACCUCUUUUGUCGGAGAGUAAAGUACGCUACGCGUAGCGUAUUGCAAGUAUCCGAAGAAAAAGCAUCGGCUAACUCCGUGCCAGCAGCCGCGGUAAUACGGAGGAUGCGAGCGUUAUCCGGAUUUAUUGGGUUUAAAGGGUGCGUAGGCGGCACGCCAAGUCAGCGGUGAAAUUUCCGGGCUCAACCCGGAGUGUGCCGUUGAAACUGGCGAGCUAGAGUGCACAAGAGGCAGGCGGAAUGCGUGGUGUAGCGGUGAAAUGCAUAGAUAUCACGCAGAACCCCGAUUGCGAAGGCAGCCUGCUAGGGUGCGACAGACGCUGAGGCACGAAAGCGUGGGUAUCGAACAGGAUUAGAUACCCUGGUAGUCCACGCAGUAAACGAUGAAUACUAACUGUUUGCGAUACAAUGUAAGCGGUACAGCGAAAGCGUUAAGUAUUCCACCUGGGGAGUACGCCGGCAACGGUGAAACUCAAAGG
rnacentral:rRNA from 1 species